rnacentral:rRNA from 1 species
CGGACGGGUGAGUAACACGUGGAUAACCUACCUAUAAGACUGGGAUAACUUCGGGAAACCGGAGCUAAUACCGGAUAAUAUAUUGAACCGCAUGGUUCAAUGGUGAAAGACGGUUUUGCUGUCACUUAUAGAUGGAUCCGCGCCGCAUUAGCUAGUUGGUAAGGUAACGGCUUACCAAGGCAACGAUGUGUAGCCGACCUGAGAGGGUGAUCGGCCACACUGGAACUGAGACACGGUCCAGACUCCUACGGGAGGCAGCAGCG